GAUGAACGCUGGCGGCGUGCCUAAUACAUGCAAGUCGAGCGAACAGAUAAGGAGCUUGCUCCUUUGACGUUAGCGGCGGACGGGUGAGUAACACGUGGGUAACCUACCUAUAAGACUGGCAUAACUCCGGGAAACCGGGGCUAAUGCCGGAUAACAUUUAGAACCGCAUGGUUCUACAGUGAAAGAUGGUUUUACUAUCACUUAUAGAUGGACCCGCGCCGUAUUAGCUAGUUGGUAAGGUAACGGCUUACCAAGGCAACGAUACGUAGCCGACCUGAGAGGGUGAUCGGCCACACGGGAACUGAGACACGGUCCAGACUCCUACGGGAGGCAGCAGUAGGGAAUCUUCCGCAAUGGGCGAAAGCCUGACGGAGCAACGCCGCGUGAGUGAUGAAGGUCUUCGGAUCGUAAAACUCUGUUAUUAGGGAAGAACAAAUGUGUAAGUAACUGUGCACGUCUUGACGGUACCUAAUCAGAAAGCCACGGCUAACUACGUG
rnacentral:rRNA from 1 species